AAAAACACCCGGCAGGGGGCGCUCAACGGCGCGGCCGCGAUGAUAGCGGAGAGGGGAGGAAGCCACGAGCGAGCCAGCGACCGUGCAAAAACUCUUCUGGGAAAUGCCGGUGCCCGGUCUAGGAAAUGAGGGAGGGGGGAAAAAGAAAAACAAAACAAACCAAUAGCAGCAAACAGAGGCACGACAGAACACGGCUUGACAGGAUCAGACAAAGUGGAUAGACAAAGUGGAUACACGGGGAUUGUUGCCGAACAACGAUCUGGCACCGAUAGGCGCGACAGACGGGAAUAAAUAGAGCAAGAGAUGAACAGACAUUGAAUUCAGUUGUAUCCAUCAAACUGCUUCGCAGACAUAAUGGGAAGGACUGUCACAUUGUAGAGAUUGGACAGUGUUCACACAGGUUUUAAGCAGGAAUUCAUCAAGGACAUGAAAGGAUGGAUUUUACCAAAACUGAAUUCAAGAUUCCUAUCCUGUACUAAAAUAAUGAAACUCAAUAAUUUGAAGACAGGAUCGACAAGAAAAAGCACAAAACUGUUGGCGCAAUCCCCCAACACCACCCCAAUGCUUAGUUCAUGACUCCUCACACCCACUCCUUCCCCUCAGGUCUCAGUCAGUCAUGCAAAUUUCAUCUAUCGUUUCAAGCUACUUUAUGUGUGGUCAGUAUGAAUACUUCAGUUGUGACUGGUAAGGUGGUUUAACUCAUCAACAGAACAGACAAGAAUAAACAAAACGAAACCUGUUCUUCUGAUGUGGGAGAAGUCCCAAUAAAUAUCUUUGAUAACCAUUUUUUUUUUCAUCCCCAAAACUAGGUGUGUAACCUUUUGGGUCACAAGACCCUAACAACGAAAAGGUCUUUUAUGGUUUGUUAUGUAACUGAUGUGUGGAAGUCUGUAUUUGAAUGAAGCAUUAGUUACCUGUGUUGUGUAGGAUUCGUUUGUGAUAUCAGGCAAUUGUCUUUGUCUUAAGAAAGAUUCAAACAGUCCCACUGCUGAAUAUUCAGUCUGUCUUCAUCAUGAAAUAAUGAAUAAAUUCUGGAGAAUGUG